rnacentral:rRNA from 1 species
GCAGUAGCCGCGGUAAUACGUAGGUCCCGAGCGUUGUCCGGAUUUAUUGGGCGUAAAGCGAGCGCAGGCGGUUAGAUAAGUCUGAAGUUAAAGGCUGUGGCUUAACCAUAGUACGCUUUGGAAACUGUUUAACUUGAGUGCAAGAGGGGAGAGUGGAAUUCCAUGUGUAGCGGUGAAAUGCGUAGAUAUAUGGAGGAACACCGGUGGCGAAAGCGGCUCUCUGGCUUGUAACUGACGCUGAGGCUCGAAAGCGUGGGGAGCAAACAGGAUUAGAUACCCGUGUAGUCCCUGUCUCUUAUACA